CGUCUUACCCAGCAGUGUUUGG
rnacentral:miRNA from 5 species